CACGUAGGGCGCAAGCGUUGUCCGGAAUUAUUGGGCGUAAAGAGCUCGUAGGCGGUCUGUUGCGUCCGCUGUGAAAACUCGGGGCUUAACCCCGAGCCUGCAGUGGAUACGGGCAGACUAGAGGUAGGUAGGGGAGAAUGGAAUUCCCGGUGUAGCGGUGAAAUGCGCAGAUAUCAGGAAGAACACCUAUGGCGAAGGCAGCUCGCUGGGACGUUACUGACGCUGAGACGCGAAAGCGUGGGGAGCAAACAGG
rnacentral:rRNA from 1 species